AUCUCUCUCCCAAUUAUCAAAAGAAAUAAACCCAGCUCACCCACCCUCUUCACCUUCACGUACGAAGAAGCAAAACCCCUCUUCACCUUCACGUACGAAGAACCAAAACCCAGCGCCGUCCUCACCUUCAAUUCGCACCCAAAACGCAGCAACCCAGCGCCGUCCUCUCUCUCAACUCACCACCAGCGCCGUCCUCUCUCCCAUGAACCCUAACUCCAAAUCGAAGCUUAACUCCAAAUCGAAGCUUCUCUUUCUUUCUCCGGCCUCUACUCUCACGAAUCGAAGCUUGUCUUUCUCUCUCACAUCGAUUCAGGUACUCUUCUUUCUUUUUUAAUCCUUUUUAAAUAUUUUCCUUUUCGUGAUUUCAUUGUGUUUUAGCUCUUAGAAUUGUUACGUGGUGGUUAUGUGGUUUUGAUGGGAGAUGGGGAUGAUUAUGAUUAUGUGGUUUUGAAUUCCUCUCUAAUGAUUCUGUCUUUCUUUUGCUGUGCACCAGGGUUAUGUCAUGAAUUUGCA
rnacentral:lncRNA from 1 species